UAUCUCGACUUAAAGGAGACGCAACAAAGAGCGACAGCAGUGGGCCCUGCUAACAGCGUGGCUUACUAUAGCUUUAAGAACUUAAAAUAGGGUCUGGGUCUUUAAAAUUAAUUUUGCAGUUAUUAUAGAGAUUAUAGACUAAGUUUUCUAUUUAUACAACUUACAUUUGUGUACAAGGUUUGCAAAGAGAAGUAAGAGCGUCCAUUGAAAUAUGUUUGACAAUUGGAUCAGUGCCUUUAGCAACCCAACAUUUUUCACAUUUUAUGCCUCCUGUUUAUUUGAAGCCGUUGCAUUUUGUUGAGCAUUUUUGAGGCGUCCUGGAGUACGAGAAAACAAGUUUAGCGGUGAUGGAGCCGCAGCUCUCGAACAACAAAGAGGAGGUGGAGAAUGAGGCGGCCCUGGAGAAAUCCGCGGGGCAGAGUACCUCAUCCACCCCGUGCAGGGCAUUCAGAGGACGGGGCGACGGGUGUCUGACGACCGAAGGGACUUGCCCACCCGAGACAAACGGAGCUGCGCCGAGCGUGGCGGGAUCCGGGCGGGUUUUACGGGACAGGUCAACGCGAGCUAUUCCCGUGUGGAGGCAGAGCGAUAUCGGGGAGGACCGAGGUGAAGUGACACGCGACGCUGCGGCGAAUCGCCGGAGGAAAGCGAAGUGCCCGCGGCGCAGGAAGAGCGCAGCAGCCGCUCAGGGUUCAUCUUAUGCGGCCAGAGACUUCAGCGGCGAGUGUGACCUUCCGGAUGAGUUUGAAGAAAACAAGGAUGCGCUGGUUAAUCGAGCGGCCCGCGGCAGACAGGUGCGCUCAGGGGCCCGCACCUGCCGGGGCUCGCCUAGGACUGUGUUUAAAAUUGAACCAGAAAUGGACAUUGACUAUGUGGAGGCCAAUAAAGCGGUCGAAAAGACAGGAACAAGGUGAUUGCACAUUUAUCAUGAGAACACAUGGACACUUUCUCAUGAAAGACCCCAUGAAAUCAAAGUUGGAGUUUUGUGUUUUAUAUGCAUUUAAUAUGCAUAGCAUUUCUAUUCCAUGAAAAAAUGGGCCAAAACUAUCUUGCAUUACCUAAUGUGUUCAAAUUUCUGUCCUCCAUUUAGCAAAAGCCGGUAGUGCAUCUUCAUUUACGCUGUGACGUCAACUUAAGGCUAUUGGCUGUUUGUUAAAAAAAAAAAGACAAGACCAGUUUCAAUACUGGAAAAAAAACAGUGCUCGUCAAGCCAUUUUGUGGGGUCUUUGAAGACACUGAUGGCUGCUAGUGUUUUGGAGUUGGUCUAACAAGCCCUAUGUUUGUUAACUGCCAUAUUUUAGUGUGGAGAAAAAGGAAGAGGAGAGCAUGGAUGAUGAUGUUAUAGAAGAGGAAGAGUGUCCAUUUGUGGAUGAUCCAAAUGAUGAAACCUACCGACCCCAUUCACACAGGUAAUGUUGUACCUUGUGUACAUAUACUGAUUGUAGUCAUUUGGAAUUGACAUUAAU
rnacentral:lncRNA from 1 species